rnacentral:rRNA from 1 species
GAUGAACGCUGGCGGCGUGCUUAACACAUGCAAGUCGAACGAAGCACUUUAUUUGAUUUCCUUCGGGACUGAUUAUUUUGUGACUGAGUGGCGGACGGGUGAGUAACGCGUGGGUAACCUGCCUUGUACAGGGGGAUAACAGUUGGAAACGGCUGCUAAUACCGCAUAAGCGCACGGCAUCGCAUGAUGCAGUAUGAAAAACUCCGGUGGUAUAAGAUGGACCCGCGUUGGAUUAGCUAGUUGGUGAGGUAACGGCCCACCAAGGCGACGAUCCAUAGCCGACCUGAGAGGGUGACCGGCCACAUUGGGACUGAGACACGGCCCAAACUCCUACGGGAGGCAGCAGUGGGGAAUAUUGCACAAUGGGCGAAAGCCUGAUGCAGCGACGCCGCGUGAGCGAAGAAGUAUUUCGGUAUGUAAAGCUCUAUCAGCAGGGAAGAUAAUGACGGUACCUGACUAAGAAGCACCGGCUAAAUACGUG